rnacentral:tRNA from 1 species
AGCCCAGUGACGCAGUGGUUAGCGUGUCGUUCUUAUACUCAACCGUUUUCAUGGUUUUGUAUGGCUUGCCUCACAAGUGAUGCGAAAGUCCCGAGUUCGACUCUCGGUUGGGCUA